AGGCAGGCAGGCAGGCAGGCAGGCAGGCGUACAUAUACGUACGCUGCUAAGACCCAUCAUUAUCCAUGGGUAGAACGGAUAUGUCAAAAACGCUGAACGCUUAUAGAAUAAAGAAAAUAGAACACAUCGGCAGGAUGACGGCUAUGACGCAAGAAGAAAUAGUGGCGGGUGCUCGGACGGUGGCUCAAGGUCUCGAAACUCUGCGAGUCGAGCAUGGAGGUCUUCUUCAGGGUCUGCAGUCGCAGGACGCACCCGCCGCUCGGGACAAAGCGAGCCAAUUGAGUAAGAACAUUGAAAUGAUCGAGUUGGGUCUCGGUGAGGCACAAGUGAUGAUGGCCCUCGCGAGUCAUCUUCAAAUGGUUGAGGCGGAGAAACAAAAAUUGCGAACCCAAGUGAGACGGCUGUGUCAGGAGAAUGCGUGGCUCAGGGACGAGCUUGCCGGUACUCAACAGAAGCUUCAAGCCAGUGAACAAGCGGUUUCACAGCUCGAAGAAGAAAAGAGGCACCUCGAAUUCAUGAGUAACAUGAAACAGUACGACGCGGAUCCACCGGCCGACGACGAAAACGCAAAGGACCGACCGAAGAACGAUCCCGUGGUCGAUCUCUUUCCCGACGACGAGGCUGACGAGAGAAACACAAUGUCACCGACCCCACCGUCUCAAUUUGCCCAGCAAGUUAACGCCGGUUACGAGAUACCUGCGCGUUUGCGAACCCUCCACAAUUUGGUGAUACAAUAUGCGAGCCAAGGACGUUACGAGGUUGCUGUCCCACUUUGCAAACAAGCACUCGAAGAUCUUGAGAAAACAUCGGGGCACGAUCAUCCCGAUGUCGCAACUAUGCUCAACAUUCUUGCGCUUGUUUAUCGGGAUCAGAACAAGUUCAAAGAAGCCGCCAAUUUGCUCAACGAUGCGUUGGCGAUUCGUGAAAAAACUCUCGGUGAGAACCAUCCCGCGGUGGCAGCGACCUUGAACAAUCUAGCCGUUUUGUACGGUAAACGCGGGAAAUAUAAGGAAGCUGAACCACUCUGCAAGAGAGCAUUGGAAAUACGGGAGAAAGUACUGGGACGCGAUCAUCCGGAUGUUGCGAAACAGCUCAACAAUCUCGCGCUGCUCUGUCAGAAUCAGGGUAAAUACGAGGAGGUACAGAGAUAUUACCAACGGGCGUUAGAGAUUUACGAAGCUAAAUUGGGACCCGACGAUCCGAAUGUCGCCAAAACGAAAAACAAUCUUGCCUCGUGUUAUCUCAAACAGGGCAAAUACAAGGACGCCGAGGUUCUUUACAAGCAAGUACUUACGCGAGCUCACGAGAAUGAAUUCGGUGCUAUCGAUGGUGACAACAAACCCAUUUGGCAGGUUGCGGAGGAACGAGAGGAGAACAAGCAUCGAAACAAGGAAAACGCGCCGUAUGGUGAAUACGGUGGCUGGCACAAAGCCGCCAAAGUCGAUUCACCAACGGUAACUACGACCCUGAAAAAUCUCGGAGCUCUUUAUCGACGGCAAGGAAAGUACGAAGCUGCGGAAACUUUGGAAGAUUGCGCCCUCAGAUCACGCAAAGAACACUUCAAACAGGCAUUGGAUCUCGUCAAGCAAGCCAAGGUCGCACAAAUCUUAGGUGAUGAGAAGGGCACUACGAGACGAGGUUCACGUUCCAGUCUCGUUAACAGCGAGCACGAACAACAACACGACGAGUUAUCGCGCGGUCUACCGGAGGCUUAGGUACGGAUGAGAGUACCAGCACGCUGAUCAAGGACCGUAUACGAAAAAAGGCUUGAAGAAUCGUGUGAGAUACGAAAUUUAAGAGGACCGGAAGCAUUCCGUUCGCGCCCAAUAGAGCGACGGUUGAAGAUAGAGAAGAACUGCAAGAAUAGGAGAGAGAGCGAGCGAGCGAAAAAAAAGAGACGACGGGGGGGCGACGGACAAGACUCAGCAUCGUUUUUUUUUUUUUUUUUUUAUUGAAAACGUUGUUUACGAUGUCUACACUCGUGUUAGGAGCACUGCGAACGGCGGAAAAAAUGAAAACAAAAGGAUACAUUCCAGCUGCUUUGUAUUCGCACGUAUCGGGGGUCUGGUCAACUUUUAAAACAAAAGGAGAAGCUAAACGCAUUUUUUAAUUUAGCUUUAACGUCAAUUCGAUAUUGUUUUGCGAGUAAGAUCGCAUCUCGACUUAGGAAAUUGCUUCAAUUAAAUACCAAUCAAAAUAAAGAAAUGAAAUUAUCGUGAAUUAUAGUCGUGAUUGUAAAUGGAGAUUGAAAAACGUACUUUACGUAAGGUACAUCAUUUUAUAGCUUGUGGGACUUUUGAUGUAAUAAGGAAACGUUCUCCGAUAAUCAUAACGCAACACGUCCAGUAUUGUUUCGUUCAUAAAUGAUGAUUGAAGAGCACGGCGAUCCUUGAAAAGACGGAAUUACCAAAAUGGAAGAAAAGAAAUGAAAAAUUUGCAUUUAUAAAGAAACACUGGAUGAGAGUCGAUUGUUAUGAGCGUGCUCGAUAAAAUUUCUGUCAUAUCCUUUUGGUCCGUCUGAACCGGCCCACGUCGACACUCAUUUAAUAAGUUAUGCGAUGUUUGCUGAGAUCAUCAAUAACUAAAUUCUUUAGUUGAAUUGCGAAUAUGAGGCGAACCCUCGAAUUUGACGGGGGGUAUAUCAUCAUAGCACGUAACCGGCGUAGAUCGGUUCAUGGAGGUUUGAUAAAAAUUUGCAUAUAAUAUUCCAAACAGGGCAGUUUCGUCUAAUUUAUGAGAAUGACCAGUCACGAGAAAGCUGAUUACCGAAUAUUUUACUAAACGGAAAAACAUGACCAGGGUGAAAGAAAAAAAAAGAAGUAAAUAUAUACACAACGCAACGUGUGAACAGAGUGUAAAAGGCUUCAUCUUCUCGCGUACAUCUGUUAGUUUUGUUUUGUUGCGUUUGCAUUUUUUUUUUUCCGAAGUACUCGCAAUGAAUUGUCGAAUGUUUGUUUUCUGAAAGCGAGAGCUCGUGUCUCAUUUCCGCAUUUUCCAAGAUGUAUACAUGUGCGGUCGCAAGUCAAAGGCCUAGACAUGAGGGAUUACUUUGAAUAAUCCCGAUGAAUUUAUUCAUCCAGUCAUUUGCUUAUCAAUUUAUUUAUUUAUUACUUCGUUCUCGAUUUAAAAUAACAUCUGAUCGAGAGAUUCCGUUGUAGCGAGGAACUUGAAAAGCUACGCACACGGAGAAGCAAUGUUAACCAAAUUAUACACUCGCAUAAAAUUUUUUAUCUUCUCUUUCUUUUUCCUCCUGCGCAUUCGGAGAUAAUAAAAAAUUAACAUAAUUUUCUUUUUUUUUUAUCUUGGUAUUAGCACGAAGAAUAUUCUUUUUUUACGUUUCUCUAUUUAGAAGAUAUAUUUAAGCUCUUACGCUAGCAGUAUUUGGUAAUAAUAUUUUGUAUACUGUGCGAACAACGUGUUGUUUUAUCGGGACGACAUGGACAAAAGAUAUGAAAUUGAAUUUAAGAAAACAGAGCAACGAUUAUGUUUUUCAUGCAUUGCGCAUAACAGUUAUUGAAGUUUGAAUCGACGAGCAGUGCUGUUGUCUCACGUAAGAAAAUGGGAUUGAUUCUACCGAGAUUGUCGUAUGAUAAUGCGCGGAAGCAUUGGUUCUUCAGUGCAAAGUAUUGUUAUUCCCCGAAGAUCUGGUGGAACGUAAGCUUUGAUUUACAAUAAACAUUAUAACUUGUA